rnacentral:lncRNA from 1 species
AAAACUUGAUGGGGAAUUAGAUACAUUGAGAUUCUAAAGCUAUCAAAGACGAGGAACAUGGAAGACGUGGCGCAUUGGAUUCUUUCUUAUAUUUUAUCAUGUGACUGGUCGGUCUCUCUUUUUUUUUUCUUUUUUUUUUUUAGUCUCACACUAAACCAAAUUCGAUACAUAUAUGUUUUUUUUCUUUAAUAUCCCACCUUAGUUAGAGUUAGAGACGAUCAUAACGAUAAACAAAGGAUAAAAACAAGGAAAUUUUAUAACACAAGAAACAAAAUCUAAUACUAGUAGACUAGUAGUAGUAUUUUUAGUUUUGAGCGAUACUUGUGUGAACCCCAUAUUGAUUAGCCAAUUCUUUUUUAUCUUUUAAAAAUGGUUGAAAGUGGGUUAAUAAUAAGUGGGUCAAAGAAUGAGAGUGGGCCAAGAAAGCCCAGACCAUUACGAUGAAUGAGAGAGAGACCACAUGUGAGACCGAAAGGUUGACCCAAUCUUCGGAAGAAGAAAACUUUUUUUGUUUAUGUUUUUUUUGGGUGUUUUGAUGGUCAAAAAGUCAAAGGCGCGUUUACAAAACAGAACACCGACACUUUCUUUGUCAACUAGCGAUUACCGAUUACUGCGGUUCUUCUUCAGUAUACUCGCAACUAGAAAAGAGGAAGGGAACCUUAUCGUGCAUCACAACACAGACGAUCAAAGUUCCGUGUUCCGCGAAACAGGGGAUUAUUGACUACCAUAAGUGAGGGGGGGAGGGGAGUUGUAGGGUAAGUUAGUAAGUACACUGCUUCACAUGGGAUAAUUCGACAAAAGUCUCAAAUUUAUUAUUUUUCAUUUUUAUUUUUAUUAAUCAGUGUAGAAACGGUCCCCACCACUAUUUUUUGUUUUUCCUUAAAACCUUUUAAAAAUCAUUUUUUUUUUUUUCUUUAUGUACUAAAUCGGUUUC